rnacentral:rRNA from 1 species
CAAUAGCGUAUAUUUAAGUUGUUGCAGUUAAAAAGCUCGUAGUUGGAUUUCGGAUGGGAUCUGCCCGUCCGUCUUUGAGAUGUGUACUGGUAGGUCCUAUCUUGUUGUCGGGGACCAGCUCCUGGGCUUCACUGUCCGGGACUGGGAGCCGACGAAGUUACUUUGAGUAAAUUAGAGUGUUCAAAGCAAGCCUACGCUCUGAAUAUAUUAGCAUGGAAUAACACGAUAGGACUCUGGCUUAUCUUGUUGGUCUGUGAGACCAGAGUAAUGAUUAAGAGGGACAGUCGGGGACAUUCGUAUUUCAUUGUCAGAGGUGAAAUUCUCGGAUUUAUGAAAGACGAACUUCUGCGAAAGCAUUUGUCAAGGAUGUUUUCAUUAA